rnacentral:rRNA from 1 species
AGAGUUUGAUCCUGGCUCAGAACGAACGCUGGCGGCGUGCCUAACACAUGCAAGUCGUACGAGAAAAUCCGCUUCGGCGGGUGAGUAAAGUGGCGCACGGGUGAGUAACGCGUGGAUAAUCUGCCUUUAAGCGGGGAAUAACUUACCGAAAGGUGGGCUAAUACCCCAUAAAGCUAUGGAGCUCCGGUUUUCAUAGCCAAAGAGAGCCUCUGCAUGCAAGCCCUCACUUAGAGAUGAGUCCGCGUACCAUUAGCUAGUUGGUGGGGUAAUGGCCUACCAAGGCGACGAUGGUUAGCUGGUCUGAGAGGAUGAUCAGCCACACUGGAACUGAGACACGGUCCAGACUCCUACGGGAGGCAGCAGUGAGGAAUAUUGCGCAAUGGGGGCAACCCUGACGCAGCAACGCCGCGUGAGUGAGGAAGGUUUUCGGAUCGUAAAGUCUCUGUCGGGUGGGAAGAAAUGUAUGGAGGUUAACAGCCUUUGUACUUGUCGGUACCGCCAAAGGAAGCACCGGCUAACUCCGUGCCAGCAGCCGCGGUAAUACGGGGGGUGCUAGCGUUGUUCGGAAUCAUUGGGCGUAAAGAGCGUGUAGGCGGCUAGGCAAGUCAGAUGUGAAAUCCCUGGGCUUAACCCAGGACGUGCAUUUGAAACUGCUUGGCUUGAGUAGGGAAGAGGGAAGUGGAAUUCCUGGUGUAGAGGUGAAAUUCGUAGAUAUCAGGAGGAACACCGGUGGCGAAGGCGACUUCCUGGUCCUAUACUGACGCUGAGACGCGAGAGCGUGGGGAGCAAACCAGGAUUAGAUACCCUGGUAGUCCACGCCGUAAACGAU